AGGCAAUGAUGACGAAAACAAACAUACCAUCAAACUCUGAAAGCUUUACGCUUUUCUUUGAUGAUUAUACAACAUUCAACUGAGCCU